rnacentral:tRNA from 1 species
AAAAAUAUAUUCUAUAAAGAUUUUCAAUUUCGGCUUGAAGGAAGAUAAAAUUUUAUCUAUUUUUA